rnacentral:rRNA from 1 species
CGGACCCUUAUAAGCGGCGGACUGGUGAGUAACGCGUGGGUGACCUACCUUUAGUUGGGGACAACUGUUAGAAAUAGCAGGUAAUACCGAAUACGGUUGAGGAGCUUUGACUUCUCAAAGAAAGGCGCUACGUGCGCCGCCUGAAGAUGGGCCCGCGUCCCAUUAGCUAGUUGGUGUAGUAAAGGUGCACCAAGGCGAAGAUGGGUAGCCGGCCUGAGAGGGUGAACGGCCACACUGGGACUGAGAUACGGCCCAGACUCCUACGGGAGGCAGCAGCUAAGAAUAUUCCGCAAUGGACGAAAGUCUGACGGAGCGACGCCGCGUGGAUGACGAAGGCCGAAAGGUUGUAAAAUCCUUUUGCAGACGAAGAAUAAGGCAGGUAGGGAAUGAUCUGCUGAUGACGUUAGUACUGCGAAUAAGCCCCGGGCUAAUUACGUGC